GUUGGGUAUGGAAUUUGCUUUUUUGGCCAUUUUUGCAAAAUUACUUGAAAUCCUUAUCAUAACCCGCUUACAGCAACUGAGUUAGAAGUACUGACAUGAAAAUUAAACAAGUCAAUCAUCUGUGGAACGGGCAGGGCUCGAAAAACUCCAGCCAAUCAUUUCCAUUGCCACCGAGUUGCAUUGGACAGUAAGUACGUCAAUCAAACGGUCGUACUGCACUCCCCCUCCCCCGCGCCCCGCUCGCGACCCCUUCGUGCAGUACUCGUGACCCAGAGCUCGUGACCCAGAGCAAGCUCCUGUUUGUUGUUAUCCUGCGGUAGCUACUGGAACUAGUUAAAGGUUGGGUAUGGGAUUUGCGAAACGCCAGCAGAUUUUGAAAAUACACAACUCAAAUGGUCCUACCCCCUCUCCUUCAACGCUGACUCUGACUCCACCCAUUCCAAGUACCUGGACGCGCAAUCAUGCACGAGCGCGAACAGAGAUGCGCGAGAGCGAGCCAGGCUAGCGUAGAGUUUUCCUUCUCUUUGCUGGUGGUGGUGGUGGUGGUGGGGAUGGUGGCGUCUUGUCUGCCAUGGAAAUUGUCUUCUACUGCUAGGUCCAAAUGUGGAUUAACUAGUUCCAGUAGCUACCGCAGGAUAACAACAAACAGGAGCUUGCUCUGGGUCACGAGCUCUGGGUCACGAGUACUGCACGAAGGGGUCGCGCGCGGGGCGCGGGGGAGGGGGAGUGCAGUACGACCGUUUGAUUGACGUACUUACUGUCCAAUGCAACUCGGUGGCAAUGGAAAUGAUUGGCUGGAGUUUUUCGAGCCCUGCCCGUUCCACAGAUGAUUGACUUGUUUAAUUUUCAUGUCAGUACUUCUAACUCAGUGGCUGUAAGCGGGUUAUGAUAAGGAUUUCAAGUAAUUUUGCAAAAAUGGCCAAAAAAGCGAAUUCCAUACCCAACCUUUAAUCCACAUUUGGACCUAGCAGUAGAAGACAAUUUCCAUGGCAGACAAGACGCCACCAUCCCCACCACCACCACCACCACCAGCAAAGAGAAGGAAAACUCUUUUUCAGAGAGUAAUUGAUAAUAAAAACGCUGAAAGAGAAAAACUGAAAUCAAGAAUAAUCCUAGGCGCUGCUUUCGAACGUUGGCGGCAACUGAAGGACGAGAAGGGUCUAAAAACCGAUGCUUGUGUGGCGGUUGACCUAGUUUCAAAGUUUAUACCGUUUAUACUCGGUAAUACCGGUGUUGAGACGAGUGUAUUACUCGUUGUGAAAAUGUCCACACCGAAGCAACCCUAGUGAAAACCAGGACUUCCAAUACAAUUAUAUGAAACAAACAUACAUUUUCUAAAAAUAGUAAUGAUUUAUGUGACCGUUUAAUGUUUAUAACAUCUGGUGCAACCAUAGCCGCGAGAACGUAUUCUCAGCAGGGGGUGCUGGAAAAAAAAAACUCAGCCUGCACUAGACUCGCAACUCGUUACAUUGAUAAAAAAAGAUAUAUAGCA